rnacentral:rRNA from 1 species
GACGAACGCUGGCGGCGUGCUUAACACAUGCAAGUCGAACGAUGAACCCGGAGCUUGCUCCGGUGGAUUAGUGGCGAACGGGUGAGUAACACGUGAGUAACCUGCCCUUGACUCUGGGAUAACUGCGGGAAACUGUAGCUAAUACCGGAUACGACCCUCGGCGGCAUCGCCAGGGGGUGGAAAGAAUUUCGGUCAAGGAUGGACUCGCGGCCUAUCAGCUAGUUGGUGAGGUAACGGCUCACCAAGGCGACGACGGGUAGCCGGCCUGAGAGGGUAAGCGGCCACACUGGGACUGAGACACGGCCCAGACUCCGACGGGAGGAAGCGGUGGGGAAUAUUGCACAAUGGGCGCAAGCCUGGUGCAGCAACGCCGCGUGAGGGAUGACGGCCUUCGGGUUGUAAGCCUCUUUUAGCAGGGAAGAAGCGAAAGUGACGGUACCUGCAGAAAAAGCACCGGCUAACUACGUGCCAGCCGCCGCCGUAA